CCCAAUUUCUCAAAUGAAAUCCUUAACCCUUGUUUCACAAUUUCCCCUCUUUUCUUGUCAAGUCUCCCUUCAUCCUCUCUUUCCCGCCUCGUUUCCUCCUCUCCAAUCGUGACAAUACCCUCCCCUCGAAAAGAUCAUUGUCCCUAAUGAUCGAAUGCAAGAAAUUGAGAUCUGAGGAUAGUGAAAUCCUCUCAAGUAUCAUGCGAAGCGUCCAGGUUUGUCCAUCGCACAAGCAGUUGAGUCAACGGUCUAUUUUGUCUGUUUACAAUUAUUUUCCCCAUAAUCAUUAACGGUGCAAUCUUGAAGUGACCAUCGUCUUUCAUUGUAAGAGGAGUUGAACAUGGAAUAAUGGUCUCACCAAUUUUUUUUAGCAAGCUAAAGUGGAAAACAGGGUAGAGCUUUGAGUCUUCUGUGUCAGGGAUGACUGUCUGUGUGGUUGAAGCUUCAAGUAAACUUUAUCUCCCACUGCAAAUUCUCGUUCUGAUCGGUGUUUAUCAUCUUGUUGAUUCAUUCAAUGUUGUGCUUGCUCUAAUUGUUCUUUAAUAAUAUGCCUGAGUUCUUUAUGUCCUUGUAGCAUGUCACUGACACUUUGCACAUAAAAUCUAACUGCCAACUCAUUGUAGGGGUUUAUAACCAUAUAAAGACUAAAAUGGGGUGAGCUUCAAGGCCAAAUGAUAAGUGGUGUUGUAACACCAUUCGACGUGAGAUAACCAAUGAACCCACAGCUUAGGUUUUAAAAAACAUAACCCUCAUAAAUAUUGUUCUAGGCACUGGUUUACGCGUUUUGUUUGUCCAUCCGUUUCAGGAUGAUACAUCAUGUUGUAAAUUGUAGUAGUUCCCAAUAAUCUCAUCAUUUUCUUCCAAA